GCUCCAUCCUGGCUGAGCCGCGGUGCCGCAGGCCAGGGGAUCCGCAGCACGCGGCCGUUGGCCUCAGUAGGUUUCAGUGUUAACAAGACUCACUUCGGCUGCUUUUUUGCUCCGUUUCAGGCGCCCGGCGCAGACCGGGGCUGGACUGCUUCCAUUUGGUUCUCAUGUUGGACGGCAUUGCAUUCAGAUCACGAGAGCUGGCAUCAAUUUUUGUUAAACUGCCGUUUUCGGAGGUUGGCGGGAAGAAGCCGCGCACUGGGGCUGCCCAGGGCUGAGCCAGCGCCCGGCCAGCUGGCAGCGAUGCUCCACGGACCCAGCCCUGCGGGACCCAGCCCUUUCUUCACCUCCAAACACCGCGGGCUUUUUUGUUCCCUUUGUUUGAAAGGGUUUGGGUUUUCUGUGGCCGCCCCGCGGGGAGAAGCUGGUCCCAGUCUGGGGAGAGGAACGCUUCUGCCCCGUUCCCUGCUUGCGAAAGCUCCCAGCGUGACUCCCGGCAGCUCCUGAGCUGCGUUUGUGCUCGCUGCCCGCCUGGCCAGCUCAGCCCCGGCCCCGCAGCUGCCUGCAGCACAAGGGAGAAGAAACCACAAACGUUUUCUUCCUGGAGCCAGCGAGCAUCAAAGGGGCAACCUCUGGCGAGGGCUGCGCGACCGCUGUGUCUGGCAUCUGCUCCGGGAGCGCGUCCCUUCAGACCUCCUGCUCCGGGAAAGAAGGCCUGUGGAAAUGUGGUAGAUGCCCGGUGUAGUGAGCACAAGCAGCUGUGCCACCUCCUCUUGUGCCCAGCGGUUUGGUGGCUUAACCCUCAAAUUCUGCUGCUGAGUCUUAAAAAAAGGCACCGCAGGCGUGGAUGGAAUAAAAGCACUUUAUGGAGGGACUGAGCAAAUCAGACUUGAACCGACCGUGCUUCGCAUGUGCAGGGAAAGGCUUCAAGGCCAAUGUUUCCAUCUAGGGUUUCCUCCCCAAGCCACAAGCCCCGCUCCUGCACCCCACUUUGUGCUGGCACUUCUGCUUCACCCAUCCUGGGCCGGGUCCCCGUGUCCCUCUCAACGGACGCAGCAGCAACAUGAAUUUCACCUUGACUGCAGCUGUUGGUGCCUCUGGGUUACUGAGCUGCUGCAGGAGCCAGCAGCGAGUUUCCAGAUGAAGACCUUUGAUUAGUUGUAGCUGCUGCAUCCCACCUCCAGCUAAGGACAAGGCUCCACUGGUCUGCAGCCCCAGCUCCCCCCACCUCCAGCUUCCCAGGUAACAACUUUUUUGCAAAGAUGGGUUCAGAUUUUUCAAGGAAGGUGUCUGGGCUCUUUCUGCCCCCCCAGGUUGCCCCACUCUUUUUAGCCCCUGAGAAUCAUUUGCAGGGGAAGGUGUAGCAUGUAUAAAUCAUGCUGGGAAGCAGCCAGAGCAGCCCGGUAUGUGUCACCCAGCACAGCUGGGCACAACUGGUAAUUAUUACCGCUCCCCCCCGCAAAAAAAGACAAGGCGGGGGGGGCUGCUGCUCAUUCGGUCUGGGUCAGAGACGGGAUGGCCUGCUGGUGUGCUGGGCACCAAAGAUCUUUCCCAGCAUCUUUGGAAGACUGUUUUUCCCUGGUGAGACAGUUGCCCAGGGCUGCAAGUUCACUCAGCACCAAGGAUGGUGGGUUGCAGAAGGGAGCAAAUAGAACUUUAUGAACCAUUAUAGAAAAUGUCAAAUCACUGGAAUAAUAAAUAAUGCAGUAAGAGGUAAUUAAUUAUCUCUAUUUAUGCUGUGCUGCCUGGUUAUUGAUUUAGAUGUGUUUUCAGCCCAGGCAGCUGUGACUCCUUCAGAAUUUCAUCUGUGCUUUUCCAUCUUCCCUUUGUGAAAGCCACUGUUAAAGCUGCAGGACUGCGUGGGCCUCGCUGCCUCCUGGCCCAGGAGCUGGUCCCGUAUUUCCCUGGCACAGCCCACCCUGUGCCACACUGGGCACUUGUGCCUCUGUCAGCACAGAUGUGGCCACGGUGUUGAGAUCCGACCGCAGGGACAGAAAAACAACCCACGGCUGAACCCUGGGAAUGACAGCACGGACGUGCUCACGUCCCACCCCUUGCUGGUGCAGUGAUGUCAGAGACACCAGAUGUCUCCCUUACUGCCCAAUUUAACGAUGCCUAAUGAGGUCACUUCCAUAAAAGAGGAGCUAUUUCCUGGGAGCCAUUUGCUAAUGUAAUUACAUCUGCUUUAAUGCCUGGUUUUAGCGACUGGCGGGGAGCAGGGCCCUUGUGAAAAGCAAAGCAAGGAGGGACCAGUUCAGCAGUCACCACCGCAACAUGUCUGUCCGUCCUUCCAAACCUGGAACUUUUCAGUGUCUUUUCCAGAAACAGGUUGGGUUGGCUCUUCUGGGUCCGACCGGCACCUCUGGAUCAGGAGUUUCCCCGGUAGCUGCUGGUUUGGGCUGGAGCGGGGGGGUUGGAGGGUCCCACCAGCCCAGGCUCCGCUGUGCUUAGGGCAGCUGCACAAUUCACCGCUCAGAUUCGGUAACACGUGUCACCUGUGACUGCAAUUGCUGCUGUGCCCUGGGCUGGCUUUUCAUCCUAUUUGCGCACAGAAGCGAUAGAAAGGCCAUUCCAGGGAUACGCCACGUGCCACGUCAUUUGUAAGUGUAAAAGAUGAGUUUUAAUGACUUGUCAUAUCUGGUAUCUUGGAGGCACUGGAGCCUGGAGGAUUUUUUUUGCUGAUUUUUUUCUUAGAAAAUUGAGUUAGUACAGACAUCAUUCUGAGCAAUUUCAUUAAAAUCAAUAGGAAAGGGCUGUGCCCCCAGAGGCCAUCCCACUCCUCUUGCUGAACUUGGUGGGUGAAACACAACCAUGAGCAUCUGUCGGGGCAGAGCAGCCAUAGAAACAACAGCUCCAGCCCUUCCCGCUCGAGCGCAGCUUUAAUUAAAAAAUAAACUGUCAGACACCAUAAAAAAUUAAAACUUAAAUGCUUUUUACAUCCAUCUGCAAGUCUCCUGAGCAAGGCUGGUGAGUCAGAGCGGCUGCUGCUCCCUGCCUGUCCUCAAAGGCUCCGUGUCCACAUGCAGGAACCCGGUCCCUCUGCUGGCACCUGAUGUUGUCCCCUGUGGGUGGCAGGUGGGGACCGUGUCCACCCGUCAGUGUGGCUGUCAGCAAGAAGCAGGGGAGCCAGAACCCCUCCUGCAGGUUCCCAGGACUGCUUUCAGUGCUUUCAUUUAAUUUUGUAAGGAUUUUUCAGCUCCGUCGUGGAUGUGGCAGGUGUCACCAGAUGAGCGUUGUGACUGCACAGCAGGGUCAGUGCAGAGGGAGCUGCCGCUGUGCCGGGGAGCAAAUGGGACAACAGGUAACGGGUGCCAGGGCUGGCCCUGCUCUGUUUUGGGGUCACAGUGACGGGGACAGCCAGCUAUCCCACAGGGGAACUUUUCAUCUGCCUUGUCUUGCUCUUCGUGCUUUGAUCUUUUCCCCACACCAGUAACCGGGGUAGUUUAUCACUGCUCUGCAAGAGGAAAGAUUUAGAAAAUUACAGCGCUGCUUCCUUGCCAGGCCACCACUGAAUUAUUUAAUCUCUUCUGAAAAAUCAGCCCUGUGUCUGUUGUGGAGGGAAACUCCCCAAGCUCUGCCUGGAGCCUCGCUCUCUCCUUUUAACAGAGCUAUUUUUGCAUUCAUCUGCUUUUUGCUGUUACUGCUCGCGGUCAAGACACACAAACCCCUGUCCAGCACGCUGGGGUUGAUAAAACUUGCUCAAUUCCCAAGCGUGCUGCUGCUCUUGUGUGAUUAUUCCUGUUAAUUACUUCCUUCGUAGCAGAAGCCAGAUGCAAAGGCACCGGCUCUGGGCGCUGCUUGGCUCUUGCCCUUGCAUCUGCAGCCGCAGCUCUCCGUGCUGUUGGCAGGAGGACGGACGGCAGCGCUGCAAGGAACUUCACUGCUGGCGCUCGGAGCCGUGGCCGCAUUCCCACUGCGAUCACCCGGUGAGGCCCCGGAGCUUCCCCUGCAGCUGCUCCCAAAAUGUUAUUCCAAAAUAUUUCCCUUCCCAGUGGUUUUCUGGGUAUUUGGGUGCUGGAUGUGCAGGGGUUGAAAAAAGGUCGUAGGUAGGCGCCGGAUAGAGACUCGAACUCUUGUGGGUUACUCUGAGCAGUAUUUAUUGUAGAAGAUUCGCAGGAACAGCAGCGUUGGGUCACCUCCUCAGAGAGUGACAAUCAUACAGCAGUAUAACUAGUCAUUAUAUAGGGUUCUAACAGGUAUUACGCAGGUAAGCAAAAUUUAUCACUGUCUAUCACUGUCGAUAUCCUCAAGUUCCUUCUGUCCCAGUGGUCUGCGGGUUCCACUUCUUCUUUCUUGGCAAGUACCGAACGAAAGGUCAUCAGUCGCAGGGCUAGCUUCUUUUGAAGUUCUACCUGUCUCAUUUGUUAUCCAUAGUUCAUCGGUCUAGCACAGAAAUCAGCAACCCUAAGAAUAGCAUUUAUCUAUGUCUUAACUAAGGGUACAAAGCAAGCAUAAGGUAACCACGCUCGUGGUUCUGGGUAAGGGCUAUACAGGGGACAAGCUGAGAUUUUCAGCCUUAGCAGCACAGCUUAUAACACUGAUAUAGGCCUAAAAUCCUAAUUUCCUAUUUCCCUACAACAGGGAUGUGUUGGUCAGAGCAGAGGAUGCAGGAAUGGGGGCCGGGGCUGGGUACCAAACCCAUCGCAUCCUCCCCGAGAUGGGGUGAUCUGCCCCUGGGAACCCCAGGACAUGUGGCAGAUCCAUGCAGUGCCCAGCUGCUGAUCUGCACCUGGGCGUGGAAUGGGCUUUGCGGCAGAUGUGGAUGCUUUUGGGCAGCAGGUGCAUUGGCAGAGGGGCUGUGGGGCAGCGUUACUCUGGGCUCAGAGCAAUCUCGACACGGCUGAUAAAACAGGGCCAUUAAACCCAGACCUGACGGAGUUUCCUCUCCCUCUGGAUCAAUUCACUGCGUGUUUAUUGACCGAUGGGGUUGUCCCAUGCACAUAAGCUGUUUCUGCUUCUUCUUCCCGGGCUUGCUGGGCUCUUGCUGAUCACUUUUGCUCCAGUUUCCACAUGGGAAAAGCCCAGCUUGUGUUGAAGGACAGCGAAGAUGAUGCUCAGAAGGAGCAUCACUGAGUCAUUUACUCCCUACUCACCCAUAGGAGCACACGUGCCACAGCCCACAGGCUGUACCGUGUGUCUGUUCCAGGAGAAAUCAGGUUAAUAACCUUCCUGGUGGGACUGUGAAUAGAAAGAGGAUUUUGGGCAGCAGGUUGCAGCUUGGCCUGUGCUGAGCUCCCCCUGUAAAGCAACAGAACCCUCUGUGGAUUUGCUCUUCGGAGGCUGGACAGUCCUCAGAGGGACCAAAGCCUGCGGUCCCCUCCCCGGUGCACAGGCAGGGACAUCUGCUGCAAACACUGUGGGGACAACCUGCGUGCAAGGCGCUGGCACGAAACGGUGCCGUGCAAAGUGCUUGCGUGAGCCGGCUGUGGAGGAGCGCAGGCUGGGGGUUAUUCACGUGUGCUUUUGAGCUAUGAUGCAAUUGGGGAAAUUUUCAGUCCUUUCCGAGCCGAGGAUCCCUGCCAGGUGCUGGGACACCUCCGCCACCUGCACAUCACUCCCCACACUGUGUGGUGGACAGACAGCACUUGUCCCAGAGAAGAGGCUUUUUUAAAGCACCUUUGCAGCAUUAAAUGCCCGGGACUGGUGACAGACGCAGCGUGAGAGCUCUUGCGCUGGUACCUGUGUGCCCAGGGCCGGCAGCCGGGUCUGUGUGGAGCUCUGCACCUCCGCUGCUGCCUUGCAGACCUCCUCUGGAAUGAAGCUGGAGAAAGAAAACCUGUCUCAGUAGGACGAAAACAGGGGCAGAGAAAAGGCCACCCACUGCUGUCACUGCUGCUGCAGCACACUUCAUUAGCAUGAGGUUAAUUAUACACUGAGCAAUGGUCUAAUCAGCAGUGAUGUGGUGGGCUGGCAGGAGGGAGUGCUGUCUGCACCUUGUUUCUCCACAAGCCAGUCACUAUCGAACACAGCUGCUGCAAAACCCCUUUGCCCCCCGUCGCUGCUGAGUUUUGGCUUUUUGGAAGGAAAAAACCCAACCCAGUGAAAAUUACCCUCCAAAGCUUACAGAUUUCAGCCCUUGCAGGCUGAGGUGGAGAUCCUGCCCUGGGGCCAGGGACAUGCCGGCAGGAUGUCCCCAGUCCCCUGAGGAAGGCUUGUGCUGGUCGGUGCUCAGGCCAGGGAUGCUACGGAAAUAGCUCUUGAUUGACCUUUUUUGGCUAUUUUAACAGAUUUUUUUCGUUUCUUUUCUGGAGAAAAAACAGUUUUGUUUUUUAAGAAAAGCCGCAGUCUGACAUGGCGAGGGCAGGCACAGGGCGCUGCUGGGCACCUGGAGCUCUUUCCGGUGCUCCAAGACCCACUCCUGAAAAACACAGCCUUCGAAAAAGCCAUCAGGUUUUUGUUUUGGCCUUUUCCAAGAGAAAAGGGAAGCCAUGGCCCUUCCUUGGUGGGGCGGCUGGAGGGGAGGAGGAGAGACCCCGCGGGGUGUGCAGGUGGGAUCCAUCCAAACCUCGACAGGAGCGGGAGGCAUCGCGGGGGCUGGAUGCUGGGGCACAUCCCAGGAGGAGCCCUGGGGAACCCUCCAACGCUGGGGAUCAAACCUGUUCUGGGAUCUGAGCUCUCCCUGCUCCAGCCCAGCUGAGCACAGGAUUUGGGGAUUUAGGGAAAAAUUAGUGGUGGUGAGUAAAUAGGUGAAGGCAGAGGAAGAUGGGGGUGGGCAGCAGCACGGCUUCUCUGGCACAAGAUGGGAUAAAAACCAUCUCUGAUGGAAACAUCAGACUCGGUGCUGGGUGAUGAUUUAAUAACUUUUAUGGGCGAAUCUGUCUCGGGCAGUCUGGCUGCUCAGGCAGUGACUCAGCCCAGCGCCGGCUGUGAUCCACGCCGGGGACGAGGGACGCGUUUCACCCCUUCCCAACCACUCAGAAAGGCAAGUUCUUGGAGGAACCUUCUCUCUUUUGGCCCUCCAAGGGAUGCAAGACCCAAGCGCAGCAGCAAGAGUCUCCUGGUGAGUGUCCAGAUGUGGCGUUUGGGGGCAGAAAGGGAAUUCCCACAUGCGAGGGGCCUCUCCCAGGCUUGGUGGAGGAGGAGUUGCUUUUCCUUUUUCUUUCUCCCGCUAUUUGAGGAUGUAGCUGAACGGCCACAAUGAGGCUCUCUUGCUUUCCAUUCGAAGUCUGCUUCACGUAACCCUUUUCCAGUGGUUUACAGGGGGAAUAUUUGUGAUUAUGGAGAGAAAAACGUGAAUGCUUUGCAGUAUUUUCUAAAGAGCUGCCGUCUCUGUGCACGGCCCUGCCAAAACACUUGCUCACAGGAGUGUUUGUAGGAAGUGAGGAUGCAGUGGGAGCAGAUCCACCUCCCGGUGCACGGAGAAGCUGCUUUGUCACCAACGGGGGGGGUGGUACUAAGGCUGCUCACCCUAGGGGUCCAGGAUGCUCUGACAACCAGGCCGUCCCCUCGUGUGCUCCAUGGGGCAGGGUACCCAGCACUGCGCUGGCACCAGGGAUGCUCCACCGGCCGGAUCAGAAUGUCAAAGCCCCAUCGCCAUCCAGCUGGAACACACCAACUGCUGGGGUGGCUUCUGCCAAUAACAGCGUUGAGCAUCACACAGCAACAGCUCCUUGGGGCUCUGUGAUCUCCAGCAGAGACACCGGCAUUGAGCUCCAGCAGCACAAAUCAGCCCCCUGCCCCGGGGAGGUGGCCCACGUGGCCUUUGGAGCAGGCGUUUGGAGGCCUCUCUUUACUCUUUUUUCAUUACAGCACUUUGCACUACGUUUUAUAAUGCAAUUUCUGGAAGCAGUAGUGAAAAGCAUCUGCUGACAAACACCUCCCGUGGCCACCAGCACUGCCGAGCAGCACCGGGGCCCAGGGCAGCAGCUGAGCAGAGACCCUACAUGGAGCUGGACGCCUUUUGAUGUCUCAUCCUUCCUGACUAAGUCCUUACUGAGCAGAAGAGAAGGGGAGAGGGGGCGACUGCGUCUCUGCAAAUCCCGUUCCAUCACAGAGCCACAUAAAUCACCACCAGCCAGGUUCCCUGAGAGCCUGCUGCUGAAUUCCCUAUCUUUACAGUGCCAGAAAGAAUUUAAAAUAUGAAUGUCACUGCUAGUGCUUGGCACAGCCUUCUGGAGCUGCUUAAUGCUCAUCUCUCCCUGCAGAAUGAGCUUGAUGCAUUUCACAAGGCCUCCCCAAGUUUUCGUGUUGCCAAAGGGAGAAGUAAUCCCCUUAAUUCAUUACAGUGACCUUUAGGAGAACAAAUACCCCAGAUGAGAUGUUUCUACGCCUCAGGUCUUGCUGUGUGGAGUAAGGUGAAUACUGCAUGCCACCAUGGUACCAAUGAGCUCCAAGAGCCACGAUCGAUCAGGCUGAGGACCAAACACUGUUCAGACGGGUGAAGACGCUCAUGCUUCUGCUUAUCCAUCCAGCGCCGCGCCCCAGGGCCAGCGAUGCCAAGGCAGGCUCACAGCCAGAUGGACACGACUGUUUAAUCCGCACUGACACCAGCAGCAAUGCCUGAGCGUUCACAGCGCUGUCAAAGGGCAAUAAUUCUUCACGUCCAUAAAAAAAUCCAGUUUUUCUGGGAGCGUGAAUGACUGUCAAAGGGUUCUUGGCAGUUGCUCUGGAUAUAGGCUGUUGUUGGGCACCACUGAAAGGAGUCUGGUCCAUUCUCUUGACACCCACCCUGAUGAUAUUUAUAAGCAUAAAUACAAUUCUCUUUCAGCCUUCUCUUCUCCUGGCUGAACAGCCCCAGCUCUCUCGGCCUUUGCUCACAGCAAAGGUGCUCCAGACCCCUCAUCAUCUUUGUGUCCCUCUGCUGGACUCUCUCCAGUAAUUCCUUGUCCUUCCUAACCUCGGGAGCCCAGAAUUGCACACAGUACUCAGAUGUGGCCUCACCAGGGCAGAGCAGCCUUACUUUUUGUUUUCUCAUACUUGUUUUUUUCCCCAGGGAUUAGAUUCUCUGCUCUGGUCCAGCAGCAGACACCAGGGGUGACUCUGGUGGCUGUGGCCCGUGGCUGGGAGGCUCCUGCACAGCUGGGGCAUGGGGGACCUGCCACCUCCCCGGGGCCAUGAACCCCACCAGGCUCAGCCUGUCAGCCUGCCCAGUGCCGGCUGUCUCAGCACAGACACCUUUUUGUCCUGUUCCUUCUCUCUCCUGCAGGGUUCUGCCACCAAGGCUGGAAGAGCCGCUGUGCCAGAGGAAGGUCUUGCGAUGCUCGGGAUGGUCGAAAGCACUGGUGCUGCUGGAGGGCAGGCACGGGCACAUGCUGAGCAGCUCACAAGCCUCUGCUCCUUCCCAAAUUGGGCUAAAUCCCACCACCUCUUGGAACAACAACUUGCGAGUUUGCAGCAAUCCCGAUGUGCACGUCAGACUGAUGCUGCGUCCUGCUGCUGCACUGGUGAUGCUGACUGAUGCUGCCGGUGGCUGCUGGAAGCCCACGGGUGGGCCAGGCUUCGCCUUGCUUGCUCCAGGUUCAUGGCCAGGAGACAAGGAAAAGCAGCUACUGGAUGGGAAACAAGCCUGAGCAAUAGCACCAGACAUCACCAUGGGGCUCCUGCUCACCAGAGCCCAGGUCGCACCAGCAGACUUCUGGUACCAGCAGCGAUGGUCUCAGGAUGCCAAAGGUAUGUUCAGCUCUGGACUUCAAAGCUCAAGAGCUUUCAGGCCCAGACUGUUGUUUCUGUUUAUAGAAAUAGUCUUAUAGCUCAGACCGUUCAAAUAGGGAUGUGUCACGAGAAGACAAAUUGGUAUCUGCAGUGGGCAGCAUGUCUUGGGCUACAGCAACCCAGAGCAAUGCCACGUUGUGUUUACUUGUGAAGCCACAUAGUGUUUACUUGGCUACAAAAUCAAUCAGGAUCUUGUCCUUAGGGUAGCUUUUCGUAGACGUUCAGAGGACAGAAGCAGACUCGGCCAUGCUCACAGCAGGGUGUGAGGACCAUGCUGAGCCCUGGGUUUAAGGGGCCAAGUAUGGCAGUGCCUAAGCGUUAGGCUGAGACCAACAAUAUGCAGAGAAAGGGAGUAGCUGAGCCCUGGUUCCCUUUUACCCAUGUUUCCAUCCAUCUAUGUUGCUCUGCAGCUCUCCAGGGUUUAUUAAGAGUCAGGGGAUGAAAGGCAGGGAGAAGCCCGUGGAAUCGGGAAGACGUGCUUCCCAAAGCCGCGCUCACCGCAGUGCAUGUCUGAGCCUCUAUCCGGGAACUUUCCAACACCCAGCUCAGAUCCUACUGUAAAAAUAGUUGCAAGUGUUAAUUGCAGGCAGUGACAGUUCAGCAAGCUCCUACCGAAACCUCAGCUGAACCUGGGAACGAGCAGAUAAAUAUGAUCCUUUCACAGCUUGCGGGAAAACUCGGGUUUUGCUGAAAGGGACGGACAGGCGGGAGAAGAGGGAGCAUGCUGUUUCUAUUCUUUUCAUGGCAGGAAUACAGUGUAUUUGCAAGGUUAUCUUUAAAUGGCAAAUUUCCUCUCCUAACUCCUCUAUUGCUAACAGCUUUGUUGUACAGCUUUCCUUGACAGCAUUUAUUUUUAAGGACAUAUUCUAUCAUUCCUCUGAUGUAUCACAGAGAUAAUUGGACUUUGUGUAUGUGGUGCAAGAGGCAUUGCCAGCCAUGCCAGAAACUGCCCCUGCCCAGGGCGGGCGCUUGUCCCCUCCUCACUGCAGUCCCUGCUCUUGCUAGCAGCACAGCUCUAAUGAGCCUGGAGAAAUUGGCUCUUAUUAUUAGUCAAUCGGAGAAAACAUUUCAGCAGCUCGUAAGAUCACCUCCUCGUGUUAACAGCACGUCCCUGCUUUUACUGAGCCUGGUUGUAGGAAGCUGGGGGGAUUUUUUCCCACCUUAAUCUGCAUUUCUGAGGGGCUCUCUGCCCCACCUGCACAGAAAUUUUGGUACAAGCAGGCUUAAAAACAAUGAUAUUCUACACUGCUAAGACAUGAGUAAAACACACCUAAGUACGUAAAGAUGGUUUUACAGUGCCACGGUGAUUUCACAGGCAAAAUGCUGCAGGUGGAGCUGAGGAGCAGGAGGAGGUUCCUCCAUCCACAGUGCAGAUUCCCAGGGAAAAAUGCUGCCCCAGAGGUGGCUGUGUCCCUCGGGGUGAAGGUGAGCAGAGCCAGGAUCAAACCCGAUGGGGCUUAUCCUCCUCCACCAUCCACAAAGUGGGUAAAACCCCUCUGGAGAUCGGGACAGUCGCGGGGUGCCACGGACCAUAACCCGCGGUGCUCAGCAGCCUCCCCUUCAGCUGGGAUUUUGGAGACGUCUGUGUCUGCGUCUCGCCAAGCACGUAAUUGCUGUUUGAAAUAAUUAUGCCUUGAAUUAAAAUAGCUCCUGCGCAGCUUGCAAAGCAUUUUGUCUUUCGUGCUGGAUAUCUCAGCAGGGAUAAGCCGUGCAGGUCGGAGCUGACGUGGGGCUGGGAGGUGAAUAUCCCACCUGAGACAGGGCAGGGGCUGCAGGUCUCCCAGCCCCAUGGCUGGCAGUGCCAGGGGCUGUGGCCACUUUGGGGCAUUUUGGAGUUUUCUGGAGGUUUCUGAGGUCAGGUUUUGGUUCUGGUGAUCCUACCCACGCUCAGUGUGUGGGACCCCCCUCCCUCCUGCGCUGCUCGGCCCCUCCUCGUCCCAUCCGCUUUGCAUGGUCAAUGGAAGAGCAUCAGCAGAUGUCUAAUUUGCUGCUUUGACUGUGUGUCAAAAAAUGACAUUUUUUUGCCAUGGCUGAUAAAAUUCUCUUUCCAUUCUGUGAUUUUUUUUUUUAAUUAUUUACUGAUAUUUGAGGAGAAAACAAGGUAAACAGCGAGUGAUGUCCUGUACCGAUGGCAAACAGCCUCCAGCCACUGUGCUGCUUUGGCCCUAUGCAAAAAUAAAAAAAUUAAAAGAAAAUUAGUAUAUCUGGAUACAUUACAAGUUUAGUAAAACCCCUCAGGAUGAGGAGAAGCUUUGUCAUUCAACUUGCAGAAUUGCUCGAGAAGAGACACUAACUAAUCUGUAACUGAUUUACACUCGCUGGAGGUAUCUUGUCAAAAUGUGCCCAAAUUUUAUGUGGCUCUCUUUUCUCAAGAGGAACGUGCUACACAUUUUUCACAGGCUGGUAAUUUAAUAAAGCAAGUUUUUCGUUUGGAAAGUGCAGAGAAGGUAAUUUUUACUGACCUCCAGGCUGGCAGAAUGGCAAUUAAUAUCAGCCGCAGCUCUAGGCUGUGAUCUAUUGCCCCGAUGGACACGCCGAGCAGGCGCGGGGGCUCAUUACAUGUGUCUCAGCUGGCCCUGGGCUACCCACGGCCAGGCACCGGCGCUGGGAGAGCUCCAGGCCUGGGACAGUCUCUGUGCACACCGGGUCGGAAUACUUCAGUUCCUUUCCCACCUCUGUCCCUGCUCCACGUCUCUGGCCGCGUCCUUCCCUGUCUUCUGCACGUGGCGCUGGCUCUCGUGGCUGCACCAAUCCACCGGGCUGUGGUGACCGCUUCACCUUGACAGCUGCUUUGAAGAACAGCAAAUAAUUACAUCCCACUGUUCCCUCUUAACGCAGAUCUUCAUUUGCUGUAAUUACAUGACCAUUCUGAUUUAUUUUUUUUUAAUUGUAACAGCAGCACGGAAGGGGUGACAGGCUCCUUGUCACCCCCCCACCCACAUCACUCCCAUUGAGGAGGAACGUGAGGUGGCAUCGCACAUCGUUUUCCUAAUCAUGUCAUACCACCAGAACACCUUGCUACAACCACAAGCGCUGGGUGCCAGGUGGCAGCAGCACUGCUGCCAGGAGUGAAUUCAUUAUUUUAAUUAAAAAGAGGCUCUCCAGCUCUCAGAGCAUCCCUUUGGCAGCAGGAAAGCACCUGAGAGCAGCGGGCGUCUCUGUGCCCUAGCAGUGGGCUAUAAGCAUCCUCACUUCGGGGGUGCCAGCUCCAUGCAUCCCCAAGAGUUUCUUGGCCUGAGUUGUGACUGAUUUUCCUAGACCACUCUUUGCAGACCUGGGAAGCAGCAAAAAUCACUGCAGAGGGCCAUCUGUGAGGUCACUUGCUGAAGGUGAGUAUUUUAAAAGCACUAUUUAUGCAUGAGCACAUGGAAAUAGCUCAGAAACCAUUUGAAGAGGGUGUGUGCGUAGCUGGCUCCCAAGCAGGAAAAAAAAGGGCCAAAACCCACCAAAGUAAGUAUUCCCUGAGGAUAUUUCACUUGUUUAAAGCUUUGGAAGGGCCAAGGGAACAGGUCCAGUCUCUCCCUCUCCAGAAAAUGAUCCACAUAUUUUUUUAUAUCUGUACUUGGGACAAGCCACCCAAUUAUUCUCCGCUUAUCUCCCUGCCCUUUCAACGCCCUCAUUUCCAGAAAAUGCUGCUGUAAGUUUAUUUGGUCUCAGCUCCCAGCAUUGCUCCCCUGAGCUGCUUCGAUUCAGUCCCAUAUUUUGCCAGUGCCCAGCAGGAUUUGCAGCAGCCCAUCUCCAUCCCUCAGACCUCCUGAACACAGCGCUGGCUGGGGCUCCACAAAGCUCUUCCACAGCUCUGCGGGUGUCCCCUGGGGAGCAACGUCCCACCGUGGGGUGCUGGUGGCGCUUUUAGGUCCCAGGCCAUGGGGUCUGCUCUGCCAGGAACCGUCAGCCCCUGUGAAACUGCCAUUGCCCUGCACACCCAGGAACAGACACAUGAAACAACGAAUUUGAGAAGGUGAGGAACAAAAAAGGUACAUUUUGCUGUGGGGAAAAAUGUUUCUGGUUUGUGACUGUGGUUGUUUCCCAGGGCCCAUCUCACUGCUCAUCCCCAAAUUUCCCGCCGAUCCUGCUUCUGCCAACUGGCAGCUCCAUCCCUUCACCAGCCCAAGGAGGGUUUAUCUGUUAUUCAUCACUGCACAUCAAUUGCCUGCUAGGCUGCCAGGGUGGUCCCUGGUUUCUGCACAGUUUCAGCCUUUUUCAGGGCCUGGCUGCUGGAAGGACAUGGCACGAGCAUCACCUGAACUGACACUGCCUUUGGGGACGUCGUCCAGGCAGAACCCAGACUCCAAAAAUCAUCGCUACGAAAGAAAUGUCUAGAGAGUGGACCUGAGUUUUUUUAACCCUGGAGUACAAGGGAUGAGGACACUGCCUGUGCCUUCUAGCAGCUGGCUAUGAUGGUGUUGAUGCAUUGGGAUGGGGUUUAGGUGGCAUCACUCUGGGUGAGACCUUUUACCACUGAACAUGCCUGAGAGGGUAACUGAAAAGCUGCUCAUCACUGGCUGCAGAGAAAUCCCUUUAUCACACCCGGACGCCGGGUACCGUCCCCCGGAGGGCAGGCGGGAUGGAGAGCACCCGGGCUGGCAGAGGAACGGCUCCCACCUACUUGGGGAAAAUCUGAAUUUCUGCAGACAUGAAAUCUUCUCUAAAAGGGUCGAUCAGGAACCUCUGAGACUGAAACACCUUUGGGCAGCUUUCCCUCCCCUGCUCCUCUGGAUGCUCCAAUUGCCUUGUGUACCAAACUGUGCUCUGUUCAUAGCGUUGUCCCUGCAGCCUUGCUAUCUCUUUUGAUCAUUUUUAUCCCCACUUCUGUGCUGUUUCCAGGGGAUGCUGACUAGGUGGCUUUUUCUAUCAUGGUCCUUCAUCUAAUCCCCCAGGACUGAAGUCAUGUGUGUUGUGCAGAAACUUGUUCCAGCAGUUUGAAUGUGGAGCUGUUCUCUGUUGUCUGGAGGUAAAAAUCAGUGAGUGAAAUACAGCCACAACUCUGGCUUGAAUUAGCCAGCAGUUCAUGUAGGACAUAAAAAUCUGUGAGGCGCAAAGCAGGUAAGGUCUGUGAGGGACUUUUCGAGACCGUCUCCACUCAUUAAAAGCUACUUCCAGGUCAUGGCCUCCUAAGAUUUCAGACACGCAAAUUCGCUUAAUUUCUGCUAGGAAAAGCAGCUAGAGCUCCAGUGCCCCAUUGGCCAGGCCCCGUUUUAGAGCAGUCAGUGUGGGAGCAGGUUUUAAGGUGCCUCCUAAUGCUGCGUCCCAAACAUGUCCUUGAGAGUUCGACAUGACCUGUGGGGUGCUCAGCCCCCUGAAAAUCCCGCUGUGAAAGAAAAGCUCAGCACGCAUCACCAGGCAAGGUUCACUGUGAACCAGCUGCAGCAAGGCGUAGAUAACUCAGGUAUAAAUAUGCUUUAAAAAGGCGACUAAAAAGAUCUAUCAAGACUUGCAUUAAUCUGCGCUUUGUCCUGCCAGCUCACCCUCAAUGCGCACGCAUCCAGGGAAACAGAGGGAGGAGAAAGUACAGGGGUUCUGAGUUAAAUAUUUACCACCGAUGCUGUUAAUGACUAUGUGUUUCUUUCUCAUGGAUGCAGGAAAAUGGGCCUGGGAUGAGGAGUUAGGGAUAAGACUUGCCGUUGCUGGCGGCUGUUUGCAGCAGUGGCACCGCACGCCUGAAGCAGCCCUGCUUCACCCCUCACUCUGUGUUUUGUUAGCAAAGCUCCAGAAGAUGCUACAAUCCCUGAGCUAAACUGCCGGAUUUAGCUGUGGGACCUCGUUCUGACCCCAUGUGUGUACAUGGCUGCCCCAGAUGGAGCCGGGCAUGGGGGUGAAGGCUAAACAACAUCAACCCCAUGGCCAUUCCUGUGGGGAGAGCUCCCUGAGGACAUUUCCUCUCCACCUCAUGGCCACGGUGGACGUGGAGGGUUUGCACAAGAGCUUCCAAAACAGCACCACAGCACUUCAUCCAUAAUUGAAUGAACGAGGCAAAAAUAGGUAGCAGUUUGCUCACAAAGGGGAGUUGUGCGGAGUCCUAGAGAAGAGGCAAAUCACUUGGAUAAUGGGUAACAUUGUGAGCUGUUGCUCUCGCAUGGACUUUGUUUCUCUGUAAGAAGAGACCAGGAUGGGUAGCACAGGGGAGUCCUCAAGGUGUUCGCACCCCCAGCGUGGCUGGGGGCUGCUGUGGUCUUGUCCUGUGUUUUUGUGUCACCAUGUGCACUCCACUGGGGAAAUCCCUCUCUGCCACAGCUACAAAGCAUCGUCCAGGAUGUGCUUCCCUAUUUUUUGGCAAUAUUCUUUGACGCAAGGGAGGUCAGCCCAGGGCAGAGGGAUGCUUGGGAUGGGUACUCGGGUACUGCUGAUUAUGGCUCGAAAUGAAAUUUGUUAGCAAACCGUUUCUAAUUACCGGCGCUUUCAUGCGCCAACUGUCGCACACGCGUGAUGCCAGGCUGUGCCGGCGGCCGGCUGGGCGCCAGGGAUGGAGAGCAUCACGGCCCCAGCACGGCCCCUGUCCCCGCAGCUCCAGCCUGGCGCUGCCCUGCGGGAAGAGGACGGGUUUGCAAAGACUUUGUGAUUUCCCGCUAUUGGGCACUAAAUUGGGCUUCUGAUCCUCUCUGAAACACGCUCGCUUCCUCAGGAGAGCCCUCAGCCAUAAGGAACCUGUCAGACCUUUCAGGUACAGAGGUGCCAAGUUAAUAAAAAUUGUCUAUGAA